rnacentral:tRNA from 1 species
CCAGAUGAUGGAAUUGGUAGCAUGUGGGUCUCAAAAACCCAUUUCUUCACGGGAGUUCGGGUUCGAUUCCCGCUCUGGGUA